rnacentral:tRNA from 1 species
CCUGGGGUAGCUCAGUGGAGAGAGCACCCGGCUCCUAUCCGGGAGGGCGCGAGUUCGACCCUCGCCCCCAGGU